CCCACUUAAUCACCUACUUAACUUGAACAUGGAGUAAAAAAGGCUGGUUUUGUUUGGAAGGAGGUUGCAAAGAGCAUGGAUCUUCCAGCUAGCCACACCCCACACCCUCGUAGCUACAGAGCAGACCGGGUCUGCACCUGUGGGUGCUAAGACGCCGUGCUACCCGAAGAGGCAGAGGGGACACAACAGCCUCAGGACCACGCCGGGUAAGAAGCGAGAGGGAAAGUCAGCACAUCUCCGAAAGGUAGACGCGGAUUCUCCACACGCCUCCAGUAUCAGCUCAGUAUAUAAAGCUCACUUCUCACAAGACUACAGCUCACUCGCUGAGGAGAAGACAGAGGAGUUGGCAUCAUCGGCAAUGGUGUUUUCCCACACCAAGGGAUAAACACAUGGAACGCUUGGAGUCUAGGCAGCCCAAUCAGAGAGAUGCUGGGUGAAGGGACAGAGUAUGUGUGUGCGUGUGACAUCAAGGGGAGCUUCAGUGUCUCAGGGAUCAUUUAAAGCAGGGUGGGCCAUAGACAGUAAGUAAAUGAACGGUUGUGGCGGUGUACCAAUAAAACUUUAUUCAAGUACA